rnacentral:snRNA from 1 species
GUGUUCCCUUUGGCAGCACAUAACUAAAAGUGGAAUGAUACAGAGAAGAUUAGCAUGGCUCCUG